UAGUUGACAUGAUAUUAGGUCACUUUUGUGUAGAAUAUGCAGACAAUCAAAUAGCAUGAUCAUAUAUCUUUUUAUUGUCAAAGCACAUCAUCAUUUACACUGUCAAUGGCAUCACUCACUACUAUUUAUAAUACAGAGUGAGUAAUUGAUCAAAGGACAUGCUAGUCUGAUGUAGAAAGCAUAAUAAAUAAGAAAAACAAAACAAACGUUAUUCCCACAAUCCUUUGCUUGUUUGAAAGAUCUGACUGAAUUGCCUCUAAAGCAGCAGUGUAAUAACUGACCUUACGAUCCAGAUGAACGUAGGCCAGCGUAUCUACUUCUGUGUUGAUUUCAGGUCAUCAGUCAAAGCACAAGUAUGUAAAAUUGCAUCAAACUGCUGUACUUUUGAGAGGCGCCCUUGAUAACACUGCUUAUAUCGUAUAAUCUCCGUAUGUGGCGUUGGCCUGUGUUAUUGCAUUAGCUGUCUUUUUGUUCCUAUGUCCAAGGAGGAGAAUAUAUACUUUGCAAUACAUAGGAACUGGCAGAAACAGGUUAGCAACUGCUAUUUCUUACUUUGUCCGAGCUGCCACCAGGGAAUACUUUGUCAGGGAAGAGAGCUGUGGGAGCUGGACCGUCAGUUAGCGGAGCUGCAACUUAAAUUCAGGCAGCUCAACCGCCCGGGUGCUCGUCCUGGGGGCAGUGAGGCUGAGUACCUGCCACGUAUUUUUUGCAGCCGUUACACAGGUUGGACCCUACCAGCAACGGCCUGCUGUCAAAGUAUUAGGAGGGAAAAGAACAGCUUUAAAUUAGACCUCAGUAAGAACAGGCGUGGUGCUGUACGUACACAGUGGACAGAAGCGGAAUUACAUGCAAAACGUAGUAUGUGGCACUAUCCGUUUCGCAUAUUUUGUAUUGCCGAGAAAUUCACAGAUGUACAUUAAAUGUGGAGGGAUUUUAGCACUAUGAGUUUUGAGCUUACUGGACCUACUCCCCCGGCAGCUAUUUAAUAAUAUUAAUUUGCCUCAAAAUCAUUUAAAUUGAGUGAAAGGGGUCACGUUGAUCAUCUUUUGUUUUUUAAUGGUUUGCAAUGGGAUACUUAAACAUGAAUUUAGUUGGCAGUAAGCAGAGCAUAUAAAUCGAAUGUGUAAAUGCUCAACAAUCGUAUGGUGGUUUCAAGUGUAGCCCUGGAAAGAAGGUCAACUGAACGCACACACGAGCGACCGUAUUGGUCCCUUCAGACAGAACCAACAACUGCGCAUCUGAGAAGACAAGGAUCCAGACCAGAGUUGAAGAGCUGUGUCCAGAGUUGCGUCCAGACUCCCCACCCGAUUGAUCAGACUGUGUGAACGUCUUUCACCUCGCCUCUGUCACAGGAAUCAUUUUGCAAGACAAUGAAAGAUGCGGCUGCUGGUCAGAAUUGCAAACAUCCCUGGAAAGUUUCGUGAUAGAGAGCAACACCCUGCCUCUGUCUCCAAUCCUUUUAUUUCUCUCUGCGAUACCACAUUUUGAAAGAGAGCCCUUUCUUUGCUGAAAAGGACACUCUUUAAACUCGUCAAAACUGUCGUGCACAUGACAAGAGAACAGGAACACGUCCAUCUGCAGACGGUCCUUUUACAACCGUGUCUAUCUCUCUCUGCGAGCACGGAGGCCGGGAAAAAGUCCAUUAAGGCCUAUCUUAAUGAAGAGGGACAGGACACAAUGGCCCCCUCAGAGAGGUGAGUAGUGAUCAACGAGGUAGAUGAAGAGUCCGGCUUGUCCACUCACUCCCCAGUGGGCGAGACAAGACUUUGGACUCCAGCCUUUGCCGAUACAGCAGGACAGGGUGAUGAAUGGAAAGACUGUACUGCCAGAGCCAUCAACCCGCCGAUCGGUUUAUCCUAGUUCCUAAAAAAGCUGGCAUUUCUUCAACUAGAUGUUUAGAACUCAAACCUUCACAUCUUUAUUUUCUUGAAUCUCAAUGAGGACAAAACGAUGAUGAGGACUCAGAGGCCCUGUAGAACAUUUUGUCUGUUUUAUUCCACUGUGUUACUUCUCACAUCAGUGACAAUGAGAUUUCGGUCUCCACUCAACCUGAAUGUAAAACCGAGAAACGAGAAAGAGGGGGCUUCUGUUUGAACUUGUUAUACCUAUAUAGUAUAAAUGUGAUGUUGUUUCAGGAAAUGCACAAUGACACUUUAAAUGAGACUCACUGGAAGAGAGGAUGGGAUGAACGGGUUGAUUUUAAGAAAUACAGCGAGGUCCUAUAAGCCCCUGCGUCUCAUCUCUCUCUCUCUCUCUCUCUCUCUCUCUCCCUCUCUCUCUCUCCCUCUCUCUCCAUCCUUCUCUAAGGGAGUAUAGUGUGUAUAAACUGCAUCAACCUAAUACGCUAAUAAACAUCCAAAGUUUAGAGUGCUUACGGGUUAUUAUCGAGCCCGGAUCUGGAGAAUACACAGCAAAACAUGCCGGUAGACGACUGUUUUUGCGCCGUUCAAUGAGAACCUGAAGGACAGAGAGACAUUCAUUAAUUAUGCCUUUUAGACCUGAUAUUGAAACCAACUGCCAAACAUUAAAGACAAAUCCAUGUUAGAGAUUCCCUUAAGCGCAGCUGUAUUGGCACAUCCACACAUCUCACGCCGAGCAUCCCGUCUAGCUACUCUCCAAAAGCCUGCAGACCCCCCCGAGCCGCUUCCAAUCAAUCACUAAAACACCUCUGGAUGAUACCGUGUUUGGAAUUACACAUUGCGUCAUUUUAUCAAACCUCGCUCCCCAUUAUACAGCCUGCCCAAGCCCGCGAAUAGCACUUUGAUAAGAAAUGUUGACAGAUUGGCCCUCCUGCCCCCCCGCAGCCCCUCUCUACACCUUGCCUAGGAGGUGCGUAACCUCCCUCCCAAGAUGCCGUGUCAAGGUUCUAAGCCAGCUCUGAGAACUGGGAAGUUAUUUUGUGCAGGGAGAUGUUCCCAUUAGGGUGAUGAAUAGCGUAAUUACUUGAGGUAAACAUUCCCCGGGAGAAAGAAGACAAAGCGGGGUCUACGAGGAGGGAUGAGUUGCUGUAAUACAGGCCCCAUGCAGUCUGGAUUAGGGAGGGAGUUUGAUCUUACGUGUGUGUGUGUGUGUGUGUGUGUGUGUGUGUGUGUGUGUGUGUGUCUUUCACAUUUGCGUGGGGUAAUCCUUGUUGCUUCAUACAUAUUUUCGUGUUGGUUGGUUUAAGAGAUGACAUUCUGAACAAAGCCUCCUCUCAUGCAUCUCACUGUUCCACCAGCAUCAGUCACUUGGGUUCAUGUAUUGUUGUGCGUGUGAUGGGAAUCUUACAGAGAGUACACCAUUGUCGUCAUCAUUUUAUUUAGGUUCUGUUUCAUAGUAUAAAGCAGGUAGCACCUGUGUGUGCAUGCAUAUGUUUUAACUGAUGUCCACCGUAUCUUCUACUUUAAAGUAACAGGGAUGAUAAAGGUCAGAUCACUAUGACGUCACCGUGGUCCAUUGGGUGACCAUGUCUCCAGUACUUACUUAGUAAGUUUGAGUCCAUCACACACCAGAUCUCUGUCCUGCAGUUAUUUGAAUCAAUGUUUCGUGAGUUUGCUCCUACAAGCUUUGGAUAGUAGAAUGUGGAGGUGGGCCAGCGGCUACAGUUUUGAUUCGAUAAAGCAAUGAUAAAAUCAAGUACUCAAUUUUAUUAAUUUAGACAAAUCCGCCAUGCUUACCCAAGGGUAUACUUUCUCUGGACCAAUUCAUACAUUAAAACUCCAGCCUGUAAGAGGCCCCAGGGCCACCGAGUUCACACCAGUGACACCUAUACAAAGGCCAUCACAUUAUCCACCAUUAACUCAGUCAAUGUCCCUUGUACACUGCUGCCUCACUGUCUCUUGUCCAGACUGAGCUAUUCAGCAUUUUUCAUGAUAGAUUACACAGUCAGUCAGGGGAAACCACUGGGCCUUUGGGGAACAGCAAACACACACAGACACACACUUGCACUACUCUUCUGCAGCACAUGUUUAAAUGCCUCUUUUAACCUUGAUCGCGGAUGGUGAAGAACAUGGCACCUAAUAAGUGUUUUUCAUUGUUCACUGUCCCUGUAACAAGACAUAAAUCAACCCCAGCUUUUGCAGUCAAGGGUACAUUUGACAGUACGGAGCAACGUGUGAGGCGGCACUGACGUUUCACUACAUUACAGGGACUUGCUGUUCCAGGUGUAUGAAAUUUUACAAGGAAAGUUAAACAGUAAUUUUGGUUGAUUCCUUUGUUUUUAUAUAUUUCCACAUUUUGAAUAUAGAAAUACUUUUUCUGGUCACAAAAAAAACUUUCGAUUGAAAGUUCUAUGUAAAUGGAAGGAUGUUAUGGUAUUUAACUAUAAAGAAGGAAUUCUCAGUCUGUCUAUAGUCGUGUCCUCACAUUAAUGUUCAUCGGAUCCAGUUCACACUUUGUUGGAGUAUUGGUGGGUAGGGAUAGUUAGCUACUCACCACAUAGGACUUUUUCUCACGGUAUUUGACAAAUUAUUGGGUUAUCUUUGGAAAAUAUAUGGAAUGUGUCUGUUUAUGUGCUAAAAUGCCCAUUUCCAACUGCAUAUAACAUACAUACAAUAGCAUUUCAUAAUGGUUUGAUAUCCGGCAAUAUCUAUCAGGCCAAAAUCUAUAUGGAAAAUUCUACACUAUGUUACUCUGGCUUUAUAAAUGUUUGUGCAUGUGAGGAUUUUGGGACAGAAGAUGUCACAGGGUUACGGAUUGUAAAGAGAAAAAAUUGUCAUUUUGGAUUUCGGGCUGUACAAAAUAAAAAAAUUGAAUUUGAUUGAAUUGCAUGUUCCAGCAGAAAUGCUUGUACUGUAUAAGUAGGUCUUUGUGUGUGUGUGUGUGUGUGCGUGUGAGGAAGAAUACUGUAUGUGCACCAAUGUAUCAUUUUCAAGGGGAAAAUGCAGAAUAUUCAAGAGGUGACAGGAGCCAUGGAUGUGAAAGUGUGGAAUUAAUCUUUGUCAAUGGCCGCGUCUCCGCCCUACAAUCCAUUGUUACCAUUCUUGGAAGGGUUGGGACGGGGAGAAGGGACGCCAGCUGCCGUGAGAGGCAGUGCCAGGGCAGACGGGAAAUCAGCAGGCAGCCAUCUAGGAUAAUGCUGGUAGAAACAGUAAGUACAAACAGUGUGGCGGGCAAGUCUUGAUAUCCCUUCCCACUCAUCCCACUUCAGCCGAGCUCCCUCACCUUCCCAGUCUCACCCACCUCCUCACAGUAUGGACUGGUUUUUGUUUUCCGUAGGAGGGUCCACAUCUUUUUUUGAUACACCCCCCUCCUCCCCCUUUAUCCGCUUUUCCUCUCUCUUUCCUUUCCAACCAGCUCAUUUAUUAUUCAAAGACGACAACGUUGUUUUCUGCAACUGUUUUCAAGACGGUUGUUGUUUCUUUGUGCUUAAAAUGCACAGGCGGCGUGGUCACCUAUGUGCUGGUAGAGCGCUGUGACGUUGAGCCUCUUUCCUCAUUGCAUAUUCUAUGGGAGAGAGUUUCCUUUGGGACAAUGAGACAAUGGUGUUCGGAUGACACCAGCCUGAGGGGACAGUUGACAUGAGUGUACACGAUGCUCACGCAGACGGCACGCUCCGUGUACGCUGUCAGAUUGGCUUGGCUGCACCUUGUGUUCCAGGCUUUAUCCGUCUCCUUGUUCUCCAUGUCUUUCGGUGUGGAAAAGGAGGUUCUCCUUCUUCAAUCUUCACCCACUGAGGAAUGUGUUUACUUCACCAAGCCGAACCCUGAGGUGUGGAUCACGGGAGAGGAAAAAGGCUUAGGCGAGUAAAGCUCUCCUUGUCCCCUCACUGCACAUUUCUGGUAGUUAUUCAUUCAUGACAAAACUCAUUCACACUCUGACAGCCUGUGUCCCCACUGAUGUAUGGCGUGAUCCCCGAAACGUGCACGCGUGGUCCCAGCCGCCCUGCGCGGCCCCACUGUGCCGACUCCUCGGGAAUAUCGCUACUGCUGAGGCGGGACACGACGUCCGCUUUUAUUGUUUUUAUCACAUAGGACCGACAUACAACCGCGUUGAUGCAUGACGGAGAAGAUGCUUUGAUGAGCGCCAAUAAAUCAGUUUUGUAUCAGUUCUCUGAAAGCGACGUACCCGCUAUGUGCAUAUGCCCCCGCCGUCCCUCUCUCUCCUGUUAUUUAUUCACAUUUCAUUCAGUAGACACACAACCCUCGCGAUGUCAGAUUCGGUAAAAUGCAGAGUGAGGGCGGCUACAGAUGAAUAUGAUUGCCCUCUGUCUCCACAAUACCCCGGUGCAACGAAAUGAGUACCUGUGUGUAAGACUGUUUGAAAUGGCCCCGGCUAAGUUGUAAAUCAAUCUUUUUUUUUUUUUUGCCCCUAGAAUCCAUCAGCAUACAAAGCAGAGAAAUGUUCCUUCCCAUCAGAGAAGAAGCUGUUUCCUGGCAUGUUAUUGUGUAAAUCUCCAUUCGCUCCUACCGACACACUAAUAUUCACUCCCUGCGAAGCACAUUUGUAACACACACUGAACCAAGAGUAUGACCUCCAUUUGCUGCGCUCUCAUAAACACGUUAAAUGGCGGGAAUCGUAGUCCCAAGUUGAAGCAAGGUAAACCACAUGAGUUAAGCUGCCAGUUAAGUCAGGUGGUUCAAUAGCUUCAGACAAAGAAACUCAGAUAAGCGGUUGGUCACUAAGAUGAGAAUAGCGUCGGUCUGCCUAAAGUGAGCCCGGGUCAAAGUCGAUGCUAACUUUGGGGCUAACCCCUGAACAGGACGUAGGACCUCGGCUCGGAUAAGUUUAUUCGCUGAUAUUUCCUCUUGUUCUUCCCUGUUUUAAAAAACAGUUCCAUGUAAAAUAUUGUUUCCCUUGUUUAACGGCAAAAGAAAAGCAAAUUAUUUAUAGUCAAAUCACUUUUGGAGCCCAAUUUCAAGUGUGUGUAGGAAUGAAAGUGGUCUGGCAAAGGAAAAGAGCCUGCACAUGUGUGUCUAUUCUAAGCUUUGCAUCUCACAUCAAAAAUUGGCUGGUACCCUUCUCCUUCACACUCCCACGGACUCCUUUGUGGAGCUUCUGUUGACUUAUGUUACAAUGCCCCAUUGGUUUGGUUAAAAUAGAUGAUUUGGUUUAACAUUUCCAGAAACUGGCGUUCCAGUUUACGAUCAACAGCCAACAAUACACAAAAAAUUAUUUCAAAAGCGUGUGAUAAAAACUAGUACAGCUGCACAUUACUGCCAACGUAAGUAUACAAUAAAAUCUCGAAAUGGAAAAAAGACAAUGGAAUAAGCCAACAGCGUUGACAGGUGAUUCUUAUCUGCAUCAAAAUAAUUUAAUGAAGAAGUUCCGUUAUAGGAGAAAAUAUUUCAUAUUGCUGAGUACUGAAAUGCAGGAAAUUAAGAAAAGAAGCUCUGUAAAUGUGUCAAACGACACACUGAGCAAAAACACAUACUGUUUAAGCUCCAUGAAAGACGACGACACCAUUCUCUUGCAUUUUCCUUUUAAAACAUAAUGACAUAGCGGAAAGAGAGGGGCAGCCUUCUUUGUUUUAGCAGUAGUACAACACAAUGAUUCAGUGCCUUUGCUAUUGGCGGACAUGUCUGCUGAUCCGUGUGGGGAGGUACUGUUGGAACAUAGAAACAUAAUAUGCAUAUUGUGCCUGUUAAUUGGAGUUUCAUCCAUUUGUAGAUUACCUCCAGAGAGUCUAAAGUUUGAUACCACAUUAAAGACUAGAUUCUGGCCACCUUCAAUUUGAAACUUGCAGUACAUUUGUAGACAUUCUCUGACAUGGACCUGUGUGUCACUUUGUACAGUGAUAAAGACACAGCACCAUGUUGAAUACUUAACUCUAGACGUGCAAAGUGGGCCAGCACUCAUAUUUCAGAGAAUUUCAGCAUGCAGUACCUACACCCUGGGGGAGCUGCAAGAGCUCACGCCAGCACAUUGUCAUCCCCCUUUAGCCUUUUCGUAGUCAGCGACAUUUGCUACGCUGCCACUUUUUCCCUCUCGCUGCUUUUCGCUGGUGUCUGACACAUCCUUGUUGUUCAUUUCUUAUACAUGCCAUCUUUCCCCAGCUGCAGCAGCUCUUCCCCGGCAGCCGGCCCCAUUAAGUUGGAUGUUCACUGGCAGCAGAGAUUGUGUCUCAGUCUCAAACAGGGCCACCCAAAUUUUGCAGUUACAUGAAUAAAAUACGUCUGUGACAUUACACGCGCAACACUCCUGGGGCAAGGAAGCCAAUGAGGUUCGAGUGGUAGUUGCUGUUGUUUGGCCGGUGACGGGAAUGAGUGGUCGUUCUAUGAGGUAACAGACGACAGUGGUGUUUACUGGAUCAAACACUGUACCUGUGAUUCAGUUCAGAUAGGCAACCCAACUUGGCACAGACCACUUGUGCUGAUCUGAAUCUAUGGCUAAUCUAUGAAUAAAAAAAGCACAAGAACCAGUUGCAUCAUAAACAAUGCAAAAUGAUAAACACGUAUUUCACACAUAUUGACCUAUUUGGAAGAUGUAAUUUAACCAAAAUGACCAAAACAUUCACUUUACAUCGACCUUCCGGUGAAAAUGCCCUGCCUGUGCAUUGUCAUGCAGGGCCCUGUUUACACGAUUGUAUUCAUUUGUAGGGUUGUUUGAUUCCUGCUAAUUAGAAAGCAUGUCCGCUUGCUUGGCUGUUAACACGUCAAGGUGCUGCAUUUACAUGUGGGGCUACAUGAAAACAUCCUAUUAUGUCUGUAUGAGUCGGCCAGCAGCCCAACACCGGGUCCCCAGUGGAGCCGAGGUGCACUGCACAAGCUAAUGGGACUUUUUUGUUUACCCUAUUUGGUUGGCAAGCCUUUCCUGGGUAAUUGUCCCUGCUAAUCAUUUAUUGGCUGCUUGGCAAAAUAAGGCUUUCAAAGCAUAUCAACUCAGAAUGCUGCCGCCGUGGGUUAAACCAAGCAAGGGAGCAAAAGGGCUUCAUCCAAAAGCGCCAUGAUCUGUUGGUGCGUUAAAUCCAUGCUCCCUGCACAUUUGAAAAUACUACUUUUUGAAUUUCUUUUUACUACAUUCCUAAUUAGUGAAGAGAUUGGGCCUCUAAACAUGGGACGUUUAAUAGGCUUCUGUUUUUUUUAUGAGUUUCUUUACUUGGUCAUUAUCUAAGCUUCAACUCAGGCUUCACAGAAAUCUCAUCAGAAGGUUUUCUCAGUUCCAGUUUCUGAUGAAAAGCACUUUGAUUUACGUCAUUACAACAAAAUGACAGGAUUAGUUUCUACCAGAGACAUCCUUCACCAAAAAUGCUUGCACACCUAACAUGCAGAAAUGCCUUGCUUCCCAGCACUAGCGCUUUUACAAAAAUACAUGCAUCUUUGAUAUCCAUACCCAGAUGUCACCUGCCAAAAUUAGUUUUGCAAUUUCAAAAUAAAAACUGUCAAAAGGCCGAGACACUUGUUCAAGUCGAAGCGACAACUGCUUUAAUGUGCCUGCAAAUGAGUUCCCAAAUCUUUUGGGACACAGUGCUGCAUCUGUGAGAUAGCAGAGAAAUGGUUGGUACACUAUGCAAAUUUGUCUGUAUGUGAGUUUGUAAUAUGUACAUAUGUAAAUGUAUACAUAUUUAUAACAUAUUAUGCUCAUAUUAUCAUAGGGUUUGAUAUCAUAUUUGUGCUUUUUCCAAAUCACUAACAGGCGUCAAUUCCUGCUGAUCAUAUACAAAAAAAAUGUCACGGUAAACUUCUGCCUCACAGAAAAGAACUUUAGUAUAUGUGUGCUGUCUUCUCUCUUUCAUUAAUUCAAUAUAUAGCUACAAAUACUAGGAGAACAACCAGGCUGGGUGCAUACAGUGUGGGCCUCUAUGGCAUUGAGAUGUAAAAUAGGACUAAGUAUCUAUGUGAUGUUUUAUAAGUGGAAUCCUUCCGGCUUUUGGCAACCACGCAACAUUUUUGAAUAUAUUUCAAAGUUGACAUUGUUUGAUUCGACUUGUUCGUCACAGAUCUCUGAGGCAGUGUGCUGCUGCAGGUUUGCUUUUAACCCACUUAAACUUUUGUCAUAGAGAACGGCGGCAAGGGAAAUUAAGUAAUGGGCUUGGUAGUUUGCAAAGUGAAGGGUAAUGGCAGAGACACGAGCAGGAGUACCUCACUCCACCUUUCUUUCUCCAUCAUGUCUUUUUAACCACUUCACAUCUGUGCCUGUCCUCUGUGCAAGCCCAACGUGAGCAUGAAAGAGGGCUCCAUUUUUAACCAUUCUUCACAGUCUUGUUUAAUUCUCCUUUUUUUUGUUGCCAUAACUCUAAAUCAUGGUCUUUUUUCCCCAUAUUCAGAUGAGUGGAAAAGGCCACUUUGAAACAUUAGAAUAAUGCUACAAUAAUACAAUAGUUUAUUUCAAAUACAAAGAGCAGUAUUUUUGCUUUUCUUGUAACGUCUUUUGUAACGCAAUCCCCUUCCUGUGUCUGCUAGUGCAUAAAGUAGCUAAAUUGUUAUAUUCUGGGAUUCGAUUGGACUCCAGGUGUAGGUUUUUGCUGAUAAUGAUUGCUGCUUGUUUAAUGAGAUAAUUGUGGACGGAGAAGCGCCAUGUGCCAAGAUAGCGAAGACUGUUGAGGUGACUCUUGGAUUUUUCCUCAAAAAGACUAAAACAGAAGCAGUAAGUAAAGGUUCCCUGUUCUCACACGUUCCAUUAACCCGCUGUUCAUCUUUUGUCUUCGUCUGAGUUACAGGUGGGUGAGAGAACAAAAGCAAUUCCAACAAAGACGAUCAGAGAAUAACCGCUGCAGCAGAAAGUGACCAAUUAACAUAAACAUACCCUUCAGUCGAACCAAGAAAAUGAGGUUCAGUGGAAAAAGCUUAUACCUGAGGUUGAGGUGUGUGAGUGUGCACGUGCAUGUUUACCAUCAAAUGUUCAUUAUCUCUCUUGUUCCAGGGAUAUGGAGACCCACUUUCAGGCUGUCCCUCAUCUUUGUCCCCUUAGUGACCUCAUCAUAGUUUAACAUUUUCUAAAAAGUACAUCUAGUGCAGAGAAAACUUUGCUUUCCAAAUAGUCAGCUUCUGAGAAAGGAAGCACACCAGACUUGUAGCUUUAGGUUUUUUCAGUUUUACUUUGAAAGCCACUAAUAUCCCAAAUAGGUGCUCAAAAUGUCAAAGAUAAUUGGUUUCAAGGUUUUUACACCAAAAUGCAAAUCUAGAUUUAGAAUUUAAAAUGUGUUUGUGUUUAUGUCAUCAAACGUAAUCCUGAUCCAAUGUUGUAAACAAGAUUCUUCCAUUAGCCUCAUUGUCAUAUACAAGGAUCUUUUCCCCAAUGUAGUGAUAGAAGCAUAUCCUCUUUGUGUUCUUAGUGAGGUUUUUGUUUAAACUUGACAACGCACAAUGCGAUUUAGUCUUCUCAUGAUUGUAGAAAACAUUAGGGCAGAUAUCUGAAGUGCCCGGCUCAUUCAUUUAUGUAUGUUCAUUAGCAUAGUUGUGUUGUAAUGAGCUACAGCAGGGUGCCAAGUCAUUAAACCUUCAGCUAUGACAAUGUCUCAACAAUAACAGGUGGGUUGGGGAACACGUGUGAAUAGAGGAAUGAACAGAACACAAAUGGAAAUGGAAAUAUAUACAUGCAUGCAUACAUAUUUGGUGUAUUUAGUUCAUUAUUUUCCACUAUAGUUUACUCUCUGUGAUGACACCCGUGGAUAUAACGCCUGUCUCUCUAAACCCAAACUUAGAUCUUAAGUCUCUAUACUUAAAAGUGAGGACAUCCAUCUGACAACGUGAUACUAAAACUGGUCCUCACAAAGAUAGCUGUCAAAGUAGACACACACACACAUAACUACAUAUGAACACACAUGCCUACACCACCCAAUAUUGUACAGUGCAUACACAGACUGGAGCAGAGUUUGGCAGCUGUCAGUUGUCAUUGUAGAUGGCUCUGUAUAGGAGAACAUGCACCCCAGAGAGCCGGAUCGACAAGCAUACAUACAGCUUCUAUACAGCUCUUUUUAUUCCAUCAAGCUGAGAAGUUAGAUUUUUAAAGAUUGCGUGCGAGGUGCUUUUUUCCCAUUUCGGUUUAUUAAAAAAAGAAAGUAUGUGUCUGUCUGACAAAACCUGGCCUUGAACAUUUGCAUUCCAAUUAAAGACACGGCUCAUUUUUAAGGGUCAAACGAAAGAGGAAAUGAAAUCAAGAAAGCUCUAUUUAGCAUUCUGAAUAUUAAUUUACCAGCAAGGAAACAUUGCCGUAUUUUCUAUUCAGAGAUAUAGUCUACCUAAGCAGAGAAUUAAGCCGUUUCCCAGCUGUGGCUGUUGUUUUCUGAGGCUUCCCUUUGCUUUGUUGACAGAGCCGGGUCGGCCACAUGUACUUUUAGUGCUUGUUAGUGCAUGUGAGCGUUUCCCCCCCGGCUAACUCACGGAUGCUGUACGCCGGGUUAACUGACAAAAAAAAACUGCUAAAAAAGAGCCAAUGACUGUUCCUGCGGCUGCUAGUCCGAGCUGCAGUCAGGGGGCUGAAGGAAGUGACACGCACAUACUACAGCACAUGUAAUGGUAAGAAGAGGAGGUGUCUAUUGCUGCCACAUCGACUGGCCUCAGAGCUCUCAGAGACAGACAGGUAAUAACACACAUCAGCAGUUUGUCUUUUUGAAAAUCUAUUUUAAGCGCUGCCUUGUUACGAGUUCUUGACCAUCCAAAAGUUUUUUGCUCUCUUUAAUGUGACAGUGAUCAACGCCGGCUCCCAAGCCAUCAAGUGGCAUUUUAUUUUUGGGGUCUGGCAUGUUUUAAUAUGCAGCAUCAAUGGUUUUAAAAAAGAGCAGAAGUUAUGUUUGACCCGACUGAAGUGUAUCCUAAUAAAUACAGCACUAAGCCAUAGUCAUUUUUUGCAAAAGACGACAAUGAUGACAACAUUGCAAUAACAUUGUGUUAUUAGGUGGUAUUCAUUGUUGUAUUACAGAUGGAGGAUUACCAUGACUACAAGCUGAGAUCAUAGUUUUAUAGUAGCAGAUUGUCACUCAAUUACGCUCUAAUUGAAUGUUUACAAAAUAACACUAUGGGUAGAAGCAUUAUCAUGCUCAUCACUGUCUCAGCAGGUAGAUGGAUGAUGAACAGUGCUCGUAAUUGUGAAUUAAUUCAGUCACCUACGGCGAACACCCGGAGCUGACUUGUGGAACGAGGCGCAGCAGAGACUAAUGUUGUGACACUAUUUCUUCUUUCUUUUUUCAAGUCAUUUUUUCCAAUUUUCAAACGCUAUUGCUAAAUUAUUGCCAUUCAACUGUGUUUACCUUGGUUUGUCAACGUGAAGGCUCUGGUUGCUCACUUGGUUAUAUAUACAUCUGCAUUUUCAAAAAAAUCCUUGAUUCAUCUCCACGUAGGUAAUCGUCUUCUGUACAUUUAGGAUUCACUUCAUGUAGAACGGAUUGUUUUAUGCACAAUUAAACACAAUUUACCGUACAACACAAUUGAUCAGACCUUUUAAAGACAUAGAAAUUGAACUGAAUUGAAACACUCCAAUACGUCUGCAUUUACUUCUCUGUGCAAGUUUACAAAAUGAAAGUAAAAGCACACUGGAGCUACCAAUGAAGUUCUAGUUCAACUACACGUCUUCUGCUGAGUCACAGGACAUUUCUUUUAUUUAAAUUUAUUUCUUUAUUUUUAAGUAUUACUCCCACACCCAGAUGUGUUGGUAAGGAGUCUUCUACCCGACGGUUACUCAAAUCCCGGGCCAAUGGGCUCUGGAUAUGUUCAGGCUGAGCUGCAAUAGUUCCCCCUGCUGGAUUUAGGGAACAUUCGAUACUCUUGUCUCCAAAGCUGUUCAUGUCAAGUUAAGUACACACACAUAAAGCAGCUAAAAGCUGAUGCAGAUAAUGUGAGCAUGUAUCAAAAUAACCACAUGGGUAGGAAGCAUAUUCUAAUUAGCUGAUGGUCCACACAUUCAACAGAUCACAUAUAUUUAAAUCCUUACCAUGCUUGUUUAAAUAUACUGUUACUACUUCUGUUUAAUGGUAAAUGUGUCAAUUAAUUAUUCUGCAAUAAAACAGUGUGAAUAAAAAAAAACAUCUCCUCAAAUGCAUGUAGUACAAGUACCUGAAUAGCUGAACGCGAGCGUAUACAAAUCCCAUUUCCUGAAAACAAAUCAUUACAACGUUUAAGUGGUUAUCACGAGUCGGCACCGGCCCUCUAACUCGACUCCGGAGGCCCGAAUGACCCGCUUGACUGCUGCUACCGGCGGUCUUCUUCCUUCCCGCGGAGGUGGGAACAGCGGGCAGCAUCAUGAUCACACUCCGAGGCGAUCGGCUCCAUUGAGCAUUCCAUCGAGCAUCUGGCGGCCCGUCGUUACGCACCGCAUCUGAAGUGUUGCUAUUUGACAUGCUCUGCGAUAAUGCCCACACGGGGGACAACGGAGGAGUUCUACGAUUACAGAACCACGGCCACGUAUCAUUUGGUUAGUCUCCACGAUCUGCCUGCUGUUACAUGUGUAAUUGUUAAUGCAUACAAGGGCCCGAGUGUUUAUUCGCAUGCGUGAGAACCCUGCUAACCAUCAUCUGCCUGGUUUCCAUUGAAACGGCACGCUUACCUGCACGCGCCUGGCCUGAGCUUCGGAUAGGUGAGAAAGCGUGCAUGGAAACACAGGCCGACAGAGGGACGCACUGCUGCGCUCACGCCACGUGUGGCAGGGGUGCGGAAAUGCCGUUCUUUGGCAACAUACAUGUAACAUGUGUGCCUUGCAGGUGGCUUGCGACACACCGGUGACACGUGCCAGUUAGUAGCACCGGGCACCAGGGUGGAGCCACGCCAAUCUGCCAACGCGCCAUGGGGCUCAUUCAGAGCAGAGAAGCAGCCAACAGGAGGUAGAAGGGAAUGUCCUUCACUAAACCAAACACUCUCAAAUGUGUUCAAGCCAAAACAUAAUGCAGCCCAAUAAUUCAUGUGUUCAUCUUUUAAACAUGUUCAGCCUUAUAACACCUUGGACCCUUUUGUGUCAAGUGUGUGUGUUGGUGCUUCCUUGCCUAAGUUGAUUACUCAACACGUAGCGAGUUAGCGAUUAACACUGUUGUGCCAGUGUGUGUGCUCCUCCUCGUACCAGAGUCUGUACUUGUCUCUAUCUGUGAGUCGACGUGUGUGUGUGUGUGUGUGUGUGUGUUUGCUGACCUCCAGAGGUGCAUUGGGAGGCAGAGGAGUGUCUGCUUCUGUGCACGUACCGUGUUCUCAUUACCGCUAACAGCCUUGAGCCGGCCUCGUCAUUAGAGGGAAUCAUUCUCAAUCCAAUCACCUAUUGGUUACGCUACGCUACAGAGGCCCGCAAUCUGUCCUCAUCCGGUGGCUGAGAUUCCUUUGUGAUGUCUCCUGAAUUGCAAAGGACAAGUGAGGGGAGUAAAGGAAACGAAGGAGCAGAGAGUAAAAGAAUGAGACAGAGGGGGAGAGGUAGAGGUACAAAUAAAGAUGCUAGCUGGACAGAUUAAAACACAAAGUGUCAGUCCAUCCAGUCAUAAUAAAAUUGCUCUUAAAAAGGUGUUUGACAUGCGAGUAUAUAUUAUACAUAUAUAUAUGCAAACCAACAUGCUGAAAGGUAACGUAGAUUUGUCUUAACGAUCCGCUGAGCGGGAUGAUCUUCACAUUUAGUAAAACCAGAAUGCACUGUGUGGGACGUCCAUUUCAUUACCCCGAGAGACAAUUCAUUUCUUCCCAGAAAAUUGAAAACUGUGUUGUUUACAUCCACUUUGCGGGCUUUUUUUGGCAAACUACCGACACCUGUUGGAGAGUUGAUAGUGGGAGAAGAAUUGGCAGAAAUGUGUUCGGCGUGCUCAUGCAUGUCCGUGCAUGCUGUGCCUCCUUGUGUGCGCGCAAGACAAACAAAACAGGACCCAAAAUGGUUCCAUAGUUCUACUUUAGUAACAAAAGCAGCACCACUUUAGUGGCGGCUACAGCUAAUCUCAGAUAACAUACCAUGUGUGAGACAUUUUGAGACUUACCCAACAAUGGUGGCUUCACCAGAGUGCCGUGGAGCCUUAACGACCAUACAAGUGGCUGCAGCAUGUUUCAGCAUGUUUCAUACAUAGGCUGAUAUCCAUCUAUGUAUGUUCUCGCUCUCUUUCCCACAGCUUGUAUCAUCCUUCUCAUGCAUUUCUAUUCUCUCUCUCUAGUCUCUCUCUGCAUGUCUGUCUCCUCGUGUCGAUGGUGGUAGUGGCUGUGCAGGUAGGGAAUAUGAAUUACUUGGCAGGCAGGUGGUGUUCUGCUUGGAGGACUGCUGUCAGCACGGUGAGGAUGGAUGAGGAGAGACAGGAGAGAGAUGAGACUGACAGCUCCAGCCAACCUUCUGCUAGACAUGCAUCCAA
ensembl:lncRNA